GACGAACGCUGGCGGCGUGCUUAACACAUGCGAGUCGAACGGAAAGGCCCUGCUUUUGUGGGGUGCUCGAGUGGCGAACGGGUGAGUAACACGUGAGUAACCUGCCCUUGACUUUGGGAUAACUUCAGGAAACUGGGGCUAAUACCGGAUAGGAGCUCCUGCUGCAUGGUGGGGGUUGGAAAGUUUCGGCGGUUGGGGAUGGACUCGCGGCUUAUCAGCUUGUUGGUGGGGUAGUGGCUUACCAAGGCUUUGACGGGUACCCGGCCUGAGAGGGUGACCGGCCACAUUGGGACUGAGAUACGGCCCAGACUCCUACGGGAGGCAGCAGUGGGGAAUAUUGCACAAUGGGCGGAAGCCUGAUGCAGCAACGCCGCGUGCGGGAUGACGGCCUUCGGGUUGUAAACCGCUUUCGCCUGUGACGAAGCGUGAGUGACGGUAAUGGGUAAAGAAGCACCGGCUAACUACGUG
rnacentral:rRNA from 1 species